GACUUUUCAUCGUAAGAUUCCGAACUUUGUUCCGAACUUCGCAAAUUCGUUGCCAAGUUCAAAAGUUCAUAAUGAAAUUCACAAACAGGUUUGUAAACAAAGAGCCUCUGAUUGGCUAUUAAAUCAAACCAGCCAAUCAAAUGCCCAGUUUACAAACCUGUUUUUGAAUUUCAUUAUGAACUUUUGAACUUGGCAACAAAUUUGGGAAGUUCGGAAUUUUACAAUGAAAAGUC